rnacentral:rRNA from 1 species
GUGCCAGCAGCCGCGGUAAUACAGAGGGUGCAAGCGUUAAUCGGAAUUACUGGGCGUAAAGCGUGCGUAGGUGGUUUGUUAAGUCAGGUGUGAAAUCCCGGGGCUCAACCUCGAAAUUGCGCUUGAUACUGGCAGACUCGAGUGUGGUAGAGGAUAGUGGAAUUCCCGGUGUAGCGGUGAAAUGCGUAGAUAUCGGGAGGAACAUCAGUGGCGAAGGCGGCUAUCUGGACCAACACUGACACUGAGGUACGAAAGCGUGGGUAGCAAACAGGAUUAGAUACCCUGGUAGUCCACGCCCUAAACGAUGGGUACUAGACGUCGGGAAGCUUGUCUUCUUGGUGUCGCAGCUAACGCAAUAAGUACCCCGCCUGGGGAGUACGGUCGCAAGAUUAAAACUCAAAGGAAUUGGCGG